rnacentral:rRNA from 1 species
GACGAACGCUGGCGGCGUGCCUAAUACAUGCAAGUCGAACGGAAAGGCCCUGCUUUUGCGGGGUGCUCGAGUGCCGAACGGGUGAGUAACACGCGUGUAACCCGUCCUUGUCUUUGGGAUAUCAUCUGGAAACAGGGGCUAAUACCGGAUAGGAUCUUCUGCUGCACGGUGGGGGUUGGAAAGUUUCGGCCGUUGGGGCUGGACUCGCGGCUUAUGGGCUUGUUAGUCGGGUAGUGACAUACGAAGGUUUCGACGGGUAGCCGGCCUGGGAGCGUAACCGGCGACAUGAGGACUAAGGGACGGAGCAGACGCCAACGGGAGGCAGCGGUGGGGAGUAUUACGCAAUAGGCGGGAGCCUGAGGCAACAACGCCGCGAGCGUAAUGACGGCCUUCGGGUUGUAAACCGCUUUCGCCUGUAACGAGGCGUGAGUGACGGUAAUGGAUAAAGAAGCACCGGCUAACUACGUG